rnacentral:rRNA from 1 species
UACGUAGGGUGCAAGCGUUGUCCGGAAUUAUUGGGCGUAAAGAGCUCGUAGGCGGUUUGUCGCGUCGAAUGUGAAAACCCGGGGCUCAACUCCGGGCCUGCAUUCGAUACGGGCAGACUAGAGUUCGGUAGGGGAGACUGGAAUUCCUGGUGUAGCGGUGAAAUGCGCAGAUAUCAAGAGGAACACCAGUGGCGAAGGCGAGUCCCUGGACGAUACCUGACACUGAGGCACGAAAGCCAAGGGAGCAAACAGG